rnacentral:rRNA from 1 species
CUGACAGAAGAAGCACCGGCUAACUCCGUGCCAGCAGCCGCGGUAAUACGGAGGGUGCGAGCGUUAAUCGGAAUUACUGGGCGUAAAGCGUACGCAGGCGGUUUGUUAAGCGAGAUGUGAAAGCCCCGGGCUCAACCUGGGAACUGCAUUUCGAACUGGCAAACUAGAGUGUGAUAGAGGGUGGUAGAAUUUCAGGUGUAGCGGUGAAAUGCGUAGAGAUCUGAAGGAAUACCGAUGGCGAAGGCAGCCACCUGGGUCAACACUGACGCUCAUGUACGAAAGCGUGGGGAGCAAACAGGAUUAGAUACCCUGGUAGUCCACGCCGUAAACGAUGUCUACUAGAAGCUCGGAACUUCGGUUCUGUUUUUCAAAGCUAACGCAUUAAGUAGACCGCCUGGGGAGUACGGCCGCAAGGUUAAAACUCAAAUGAAUUGACGGGGGCCCGCACAAGCGGUGGAGCAUGUGGUUUAAUUCGAUGCAACGCGAAGAACCUUACCUACACUUGACAUACAGAGAACUUACCAGAGAUGG